AGUGAACGCUGGCGGUAGGCCUAACACAUGCAAGUCGAACGGCAGCACAGUAAGAGCUUGCUCUUACGGGUGGCGAGUGGCGGACGGGUGAGGAAUACAUCGGAAUCUACUUUUUCGUGGGGGAUAACGUAGGGAAACUUACGCUAAUACCGCAUACGACCUACGGGUGAAAGCAGGGGAUCUUCGGACCUUUCGCGAUUGAAUGAGCCGAUGUCGGAUUAGCUAGUUGGCGGGGUAAAGGCCCACCAAGGCGACGAUCCGUAGCUGGUCUGAGAGGAUGAUCAGCCACACAGGAACUGAGACACGGUCCAGACUCCUACGGGAGGCAGCAGUGGGGAAUAUUGGACAAUGGGCGAAAGCCUGAUCCAGCCAUACCGCGUGGGUGAAGAAGGACUUCGGGCUGUAAAGCCCUGUUGUUGGGAAAGAAAAACAGCAGGUUAAUACCCCGCUGUUCUGACGGUACCCAAAGAAUAAGCACCGGCUAACUUCGUG
rnacentral:rRNA from 1 species